CUCGGGAUGAACGCUGGCGGCGUGCCUAACACAUGCAAGUCGAACGGACCGUUUAAUGACAGAGACUCGGUCGACGAAGUUUAAGGUAGUGGCGGACGGGUGAGUACGCGUGGAGAACCUGCCCUGUACUGGGGGAUAACAGUGAGAAAUUACUGCUAAUACCGCAUAAGCGCACGGGACCGCAUGGUCUUGUGUGAAAAAACUCCGGUGGUACAGGAUGGCUCCGCGUUGGAUUAGCCAGUUGGCGGGGUAACGGCCCACCAAAGCGACGAUCCAUAGCCGGCCUGAGAGGGUGAACGGCCACAUUGGGACUGAGACACGGCCCAGACUCCUACGGGAGGCAGCAGUGGGGGAUAUUGCACAAUGGGGGGAACCCUGAUGCAGCGACGCCGCGUGAAGGAAGAAGUAUCUCGGUAUGUAAACUUCUAUCAGCAGGGAAGAAAAUGACGGUACCUGACUAAGAAGCCCCGGCUAACUACGUGCCAGCCGCCGC
rnacentral:rRNA from 1 species